rnacentral:lncRNA from 10 species
UCUCUAGUCCAGCGUGGUUUAUGGUGCCAAAUAAGUGCCAGGUGAACUCACUACAUCUGACAAAAUCUCAAGGAACCAAGUUUACCAGAUAAUAUUUAUGAUUAUGUGAAAAAGACUGAGGAAAUCACUCAAGUGAUCCAUCAUACAGCACCUCCAGUUCCAAAGAAUACUGACUUACUUCAGCUGUACUGGUCUGGAGCUGCACAUUCUUUUCAGACAACUCUUGUUCCAGUAAGUUCAGGUGACUCUUCUCCUGUAACAGAGCCUCCUUCUUAGAAACUAUGGCCUCCCGUUUCUUUAAGUCUGCUUCCAGCUCCUCUAAUUCUUGGCGUUGGUUCAGAACUUUCUCUACUUCUUCAUCUAACCAUUUCUUUUGCUCAUCCAAUUUCUACAUUAAAAUUAAAAAAAAAGUUACUUGUUUUUCCUUCUGCCAUAAAAAUUAUAUGGUAAUAAUAGAAUUUCAGAUUGGCUGAAAUCUCUUAAAUGAACAUUUAAAAACUAUCACUCAGAGUAACUCAGGUAGCCGUCUGAGAUCCUAAAGACAUCAGUGGUUCUAGUCAAGAUGUAGCUAUGUUGUUUUAUAAAGAAUUAAAAUUUACUCCCCAGAUAUGUUAAACAGUCUAGGAUUUUUUAGCCUGACGAAGAAAGGGCUGAUAAUUUUCUAUGCCUAUAUUAAGAACAUGCUGGAAUCUUUUACUCUGUUGUAGUGGUGCACAGUUCCAUCACAGCACUUACACUGGUGGCUGCCCUACGUAUCUAUCUCCCCAGCUUGAGCUCCUUGAUUGAUUGCAGGGGCUGUAGUUUUUACCCGUCUAUCCACAUGGCUGGUAUAUUGCCUGGGCCACAGUAGGCAUUCAAUAAAAUGUUAAAUGAAUGAGUGAAUGAAUGCCUGAUUCAGUCAGUCAAUGAAGUGAAUAAAUGAAUACACACAGUGGAAGACACAGAUGAUGGAGGAUGGAAGGAAAGCCAAUUUGCAUUGUAGCUUGUCAACCUCAAAUAAUUAUUUUUAAAAAAGAAAAAAAACAAAAAUAAAAAAUUGCUGAAAAGAUCUCCAAAACAA